UUUGAAGAAGGAGUGGACCGAGGGAUUCCACCGUUUAUAUAAGUACUUCAAAGGGUCUGAAGGGUUAGCUCAUUCUUCUCGCCUUUGAAGGUUUUUCGCAGGGCAUGGGAGCCUUUUAAAGAGCUCUCCAACACUCCCUUUUUAUUUCUUUAUUUAUUUAUUUGUGUGUGUGUCUUCUGGACCAAUUCCAUUUUUUUCCCCAGCCACUCCUUUUCCAAUCCUCAAUGGCAAUCUUUUCACCUGACUUGAGCUUUCUGCUUUUCUCCCCCUUCAGGGAGCUCACGGAUGUCAGGAGAACAGGGCACGGUUUUCCACGGGAUGUGCCAAAACCAUGAAUCCCAUUUCACUACUGCACACCUACAGGAGCCCAGCUCUGUGAUAGGCUUGAUGGGGAAUCUUGAACAGACCGAAGACAUUCUUCUCUCUGCCUGAAGCUGUGAUCUUGUGAGGAAAGGAGGCCUGAAGAGCAGGAGACUUCCCUCUGUAACCGCAGGAUGUCAUGGGGCAAGAAAUCAGGACUAAGCACAUAAUGGGAGGAGUCAUGAAAGAUCAGGCGUGUGUGAUAACAUCACACCCAGGUUAACAUCACACCUUCCUUGGGACACAUGAAGGCAUGGCAAAGCAGGAUUGCCCCCAUAGCUCUUCUCAAGCAGUUUCCCUCUCCUCGUUUCCCUUUAGUGUUACUAUCUUUUAUAAAGAAUAAAGACUUGUCAGAGCUGAAAUCCCA
rnacentral:lncRNA from 1 species